GACGAACGCUGGCGGCGUGCUUAACACAUGCAAGUCGAACGAUGAAGCCGGAGCUUGCUCUGGUGAAUUAGUGGCGAACGGGUGAGUAACACGUGAGUAACCUGCCCUUGACUCCGGGAUAACUGCGGGAAACUGUAGCUAAUACUGGAUACGACCCUCGGAGGCAUCUCCUGGGGGUGGAAAGAAUUUCGGUCAAGGAUGGACUCGCGGCCUAUCAGCCAGUUGGUGAGGUAAAGGCUCACCAAGGCGACGACGGGUAGCCGGCCUGAGAGGGGGACCGGCCACACUGGGACUGAGACACGGCCCAGACUCCUACGGGAGGCAGCAGUGGGGAAUAUUGCACAAUGGGCGCAAGCCUGAUGCAGCAACGCCGCGUGAGGGAUGACGGCCUUCGUGUUGUAAACCUCUUUUAGCAGGGAAGAAGCGAAAGUGACGGUACCUGCAGAAAAAGCACCGGCUAACUACGUGCCAGCCGCCGCGGUAA
rnacentral:rRNA from 1 species